rnacentral:rRNA from 1 species
GACGAACGCUGGCGGCGUGCUUAACACAUGCAAGUCGAACGGAAAGGCCCUGCUUUUGUGGGGUGCUCGAGUGGCGAACGGGUGAGUAACACGUGAGUAACCUGCCCUUGACUUUGGGAUAACUUCAGGAAACUGGGGCUAAUACCGGAUAGGAGCUCCUGCUGCAUGGUGGGGGUUGGAAAGUUUCGGCGGUUGGGGAUGGACUCGCGGCUUAUCAGCUUGUUGGUGGGGUAGUGGCUUACCAAGGCUUUGAAGGGUAGCCGGACUGAGGGGGUGACCGGCCACAUUGGGACUGAGAUACGGCCCAGACUCCUACGUGAGGCAGCAGUGGGGAAUAGUGCACCAUGGGCGGCAGCCUGAUGCAGCAACGCCGCGUGCUGUAUGACGGCCUUCGUGUUGUAAACCGCUUUCGCCUGUGACGAAGCGUGAGUGACGGUAAUGGGUAAAGAAGCACCGGCUAACUACGUA